AGUAUUUGCGUGUUAUUUUGUCUAUGGCCAUGGCUUGCAAAUUCUAUAUAAUUCCAAUCCUGUCUCCCUAAGUUUCCUUACGAGGCAAAGAUACCAUUAUAAUUAUUAAAUGAAGGCUAAGAGACAUAACUUUAGAAUUUCUUGGUCUUUUUGAAUAAAAAAAUUUAUUAAUGCAUCUGUUGGACGUUAGAAAAGAGGCAUUGAACUGAUGUCCUGAAACUUCAUAAAGUUACCCAUAUUGAGGUGAAGGAAACAAUCUGCCUGUGGCUGCAACAGAGCAAAACAAGAGUAAUGAGGAGAGGAAACAGAAACCAGCAACAAGGACCAGCUGAAAAUGAUCCAAAAAUUAUAUAUGAUACUAUAGUAGAUUGCUUAUUGUAUAAAUUAUAAUAUUAAUAAAUUUUAG